UACGUAGGGUGCGAGCGUUAAUCGGAAUUACUGGGCGUAAAGUGUGCGCAGGCGGCUUGGCAAGUCGAGUGUGAAAUCCCCGGGCUUAACUUGGGAAUUGCGCUCGAAACUACCUGGCUAGAGUGUGGCAGAGGAAGGUGGAAUUCCACGUGUAGCGGUGAAAUGCGUAGAGAUGUGGAGGAACACCGAUGGCGAAGGCAGCCCCCUGGGCUAACACUGACGCUCAUGCACGAAAGCGUGGGGAGCAAACAGG
rnacentral:rRNA from 1 species